AGUGAACGCUGGCGGUAGGCCUAACACAUGCAAGUCGAACGGCAGCACAGUAAGAGCUUGCUCUUACGGGUGGCGAGUGGCGGACGGGUGAGGAAUACAUCGGAAUCUACUUUUUCGUGGGGGAUAACGUAGGGAAACUUACGCUAAUACCGCAUACGACCUACGGGUGAAAGCAGGGGAUCUUCGGACCUUGCGCGAUUGAAUGAGCCGAUGUCGGAUUAGCUAGUUGGCGGGGUAAAGGCCCACCAAGGCGACGAUCCGUAGCUGGUCUGAGAGGAUGAUCAGACACACUGGAACUGAGACACGGUCCAGACUCCUACGGGAGGCAGCAGUGGGGAAUAUUGGACAAUGGGCGCAAGCCUGAUCCAGCCAUACCGCGUGGGUGAAGGAGGCCUUCGGGUUGUAAAGCCCUUUUGUUGGGAAAGAAAAGCAGCAGGUUAAUACCCCGCUGUUCUGACGGUACCCAAAGAAUAAGCACCGGCUAACUUCGUG
rnacentral:rRNA from 1 species